rnacentral:lncRNA from 1 species
GAUGUGGUGAUGUUGUAAAACAUAGUACGAGGUGGUUUGCGAGGACGCUGCACAGUAAGGAGUGGGGCUAUGUAGAAUGUAUAAAUGACUUUUCUGGUUCGUUAUCGGUUAAAUAGUAGUAAUAUUGAGAUUUAGAUGAAUGGUUAGUUUGAUUAGUUGUUAAUAAUAGGAAGUUAGGAACAUAUGCGGUUAUGAAGCCAAAGUUUCACAACCUGUGGAAU